AACAUCGCCUCCUGCAAAAAUCAAUGUAUAGGAGGUCCUGCCUGCCCAGUGACAACUUGUUAAACGGCCGCGGUAUUUUGACCGUGCUAAGGUAGCGCAAUCACUUGUCUUUUAAAUGAAGACCUGUAUGAAUGGCGGAACGAAGGCUUAACUGUCUCCCUUCUCCUGUCAAUGAAAUUGAUCUGCCCGUGCAGAAGCGGGCAUGCAUAUACAAGACGAGAAGACCCUUUGGAGCUUAUUGGGGCGACCGCGGGGGAAAAUAAAGCCCCCAUGUAAAACCAAGAGAGACAUCUCUAAGCCACAGAACAUCUGACCAAAAGAUCCGGCCCACAAGCCGAUCAACGAACCAAGUUACCCUAGGGAUAACAGCGCAAUCCUCUCCAAGAGUUCAUAUCGACGAGAGGGUUUACGACCUCGAUGUUGGAUCAGGACAUCCUAAUGGUGCAGCCGCUAUUAAGGGUUCGUUUGUUCAACGAUUAAAGUCCUACGUGAUCU
rnacentral:rRNA from 1 species